CAAUAGCGUAUAUUAAAGUUGUUGCAGUUAAAAAGCUCGUAGUUGGAUUUCAGGCAGGAGCGACCGGUCACACACUCUGUGUGUGAACUUGUGUUGUCUCUGGCCAUCCUUGGGGAGAUCCUGUUUGGCAUUAAGUUGUCGGGCAGGGGACAUCCAUCGUUUACUGUGAAAAAAUUAGAGUGUUUAAAGCAGGCUUAUGCCGUUGAAUAUAUUAGCAUGGAAUAAUAAGAUAGGACUUCGGAACUAUUUUGUUGGUUUGCGUUACGAAGUAAUGAUUAAUAGGGACAGUUGGGGGUAUUCGUAUUUCGUUGUCAGAGGUGAAAUUCUUGGAUUUCCGAAAGACGAACUACUGCGAAAGCAUUUACCAAGGAUGUUUUCAUUAA
rnacentral:rRNA from 1 species